CCUACGGGAGGCAGCAGUAGGGAAUAUUGCUCAAUGGGGGAAACCCUGAAGCAGCAACGCCGCGUGGAGGAUGAAGGUUUUCGGAUUGUAAACCUCUUUUGUUAGAGAAGAAAAUGACGGUACCUAACGAAUAAUCACCGGCUAAUUCCGUGCCAGCAGCCGCGGUAAUACGGAGGGUGCAAGCGUUACUCGGAUUCACUGGGCGUAAAGGGCGCGUAGGCGGGUUAGCAAGUCAGAUGUGAAAUCCUAUGGCUUAACCAUAGAACUGCAUUUGAAACUGGUAUUCUUGAGUAUGGGAGAGGCAGGUGGAAUUCUUGGUGUAGAGGUGAAAUGCGUAGAGAUGAAGAGGAACACUCAUUGCGAAGGCGGCCUGCUGGAACGUAACUGACGCUGAUGCGCGAAAGCGUGGGGAGCGAACAGGAUUAGAUACCCGUGUAGUC
rnacentral:rRNA from 1 species